CCUACGGGAGGCAGCAGUGAGGAAUAUUGGUCAAUGGGCGCGAGCCUGAACCAGCCAAGUCGCGUGAGGGAAGACGGUCCUAUGGAUUGUAAACCUCUUUUGUCGGGGAGCAAAAGACGCCACGCGUGGCGUUCCGCGAGUACCCGACGAACAAGCAUCGGCUAACUCCGUGCCAGCAGCCGCGGUAAUACGGAGGAUGCGAGCGUUAUCCGGAUUUAUUGGGUUUAAAGGGUGCGCAGGCGGAAGAUCAAGUCAGCGGUAAAAUUGAGAGGCUCAACCUCUUCGAGCCGUUGAAACUGGUUUUCUUGAGUGAGUGAGAAGUAGGCGGAAUGCGUGGUGUAGCGGUGAAAUGCAUAGAUAUCACGCAGAACUCCGAUUGCGAAGGCAGCAUACCGGCGCUCAACUGACGCUCAUGCACGAAAGUGUGGGUAUCGAACAGGAUUAGAUACCCUUGUAGUC
rnacentral:rRNA from 1 species